GGUUGUGGCUCAGUGGUAGAACACUCGCCUUGCAUGUGUGAGGCAUUGGGUUCGAUUCUCAGCACCA
rnacentral:tRNA from 1 species